GGUGAACGCUGGCGGCGUGCUUAAGACAUGCAAGUCGAACGGCAGUCUUCGGACUGUAGUGGCGCACGGGUGAGUAACGCGUAACUGACCUACCCCAAAGUCGCGGAUAACGAUUCGAAAGAAUCGCUAAUACGUGAUGUGCUGUCAGAUUGUGUUCUGCCAGUAAAGAUUGAUUGCUUUGGGAUGGGGUUGCGUUCCAUCAGCUAGUUGGUGGGGUAAAGGCCCACCAAGGCGACGACGGAUAGCCGGCCUGAGAGGGUGGCCGGCCACAAGGGCACUGAGACACGGGUCCCACUCCUACGGGAGGCAGCAGUUAGGAAUCUUCCACAAUGGGCGAAAGCCUGAUGGAGCGAAGCCGCGUGAGGGAUGAAGGUCUUCGGAUCGUAAACCUCUGAAUCAGGGACGAAAGACACUUCGGUGGGAUGACGGUACCUGAGUAAUAGCACCGGCUAACUCCGUGCCAGCCGCCGCGGUAACAC
rnacentral:rRNA from 1 species